AGUGAACGCUGGCGGUAGGCCUAACACAUGCAAGUCGAACGGCAGCACAGUAAGAGCUUGCUCUUACGGGUGGCGAGUGGCGGACGGGUAAGGAAUACAUCGGAAUCUACUUUUUCGUGGGGGAUAACGUAGGGAAACUUACGCUAAUACCGCAUACGACCUACGGGUGAAAGCAGGGGAUCUUCGGACCUUGCGCGAUUGAAUGAGCCGAUGUCGGAUUAGCUAGUUGGCGGGGUAAAGGCCCACCAAGGCGACAAUCCGUAGCUGGUCUGAGAGGAUGAUCAGCCACACUGGAACUGAGACACGGUCCAGACUCCUACGGGAGGCAGCAGUGGGGAAUAUUGGACAAUGGGCGCAAGCCUGAUCCAGCCAUACCGCGUGGGUGAAGAAGGCCUUCGGGUUGUAAAGCCCUUUUGUUGGGAAAGAAAAGCAGCAGGUUAAUACCCCGCUGUUCUGACGGUACCCAAAGAAUAAGCACCGGCUAACUUCGCG
rnacentral:rRNA from 1 species